GUGCCUAAUAGAAAAAAAAACCCAAAACAACAACAUAGAGCAGGUUGAGCUAAAGAGUAUAUGUACAUACGUUACAUUUUACACACUUCUGUCUUCAUUCCCUUUCCUUAGAUGACAUCUUAAGAAUACUGUGUCUCCUCCUGGCAUUCACUUUUUUACUCCAAAAUGAAGACCUAUAAUUAAUUUAAGAUAGUUAUGUAACAGUAUAAUUUUAAAUAAAGUUGACCAUAUGCAUUCACUAAGAUUACUCUCAUAAAUCAUGUUGCUACCCAUACCAAUUGGAAGAAAAUGGGUUCAUUCUCAUAAGUUGUGUACCUCAGUUGUCUGACUGCCAAGACACCCGAACAGUGAAAACAAGUAUGCUUUAUGGAUAUAUUUACUGAGAGUGAGAAGAGAUUGAAAAAAUAAUUUAUCUGUGCGUUGCCUUUUUCAGAGAUUCAACAAGAAUGACACUUGUUCCGAUACUCUUUAGACAUUAAAAAUCAAUAAUUAAAAAAGCGUGUAUUGCCAAUAUAUCAUAAAUGUAAGGAUGAUGAAUGAAGUCCAUGUGAAUUGCCUACAGACACAUUUAAUUUGUAAUCUAGAAGGAAAGUUUUGCAUUUUAUUUUUUAUUUUGUCUUAUAACUAGCUGAAGAGAUCAAGCUACUUCUCUUCCUCUGGAAUGCUGCUUUCCAGAAAAGGACAUAUUUUAUUGAAUACCAUGAUAAGGAAUUAGGUCAAAAUCCUACAGCUUCUUUAAGAUGUAAAUCUGUCUGAGACAAUAUGAAACUCUAUGUAAGUUAAUAUUAACGAUCAAAUAGAAAUUUAUAAUGUAAAUCAUUUAGAUUAUCCAAACUACAUCAGGAUUUAUUUCUCUUGGCUUUUAAAUCUUAACAUGGCCUCAGAUGGAUCUUUCUUAGAGCCAGUGUUACAUACUGAACUGCUUAUAAACAUUGAUAUUCUGACCCAUAUAUGACUUGAGAUAUUCUACAUGAAGUUUAUAGCUAUUCAUAAGUAUACUUGCCCUCUAUUGGAAAACUGUAAAAGCAGAGUAUAGGAAAAUACAGAUAGAUACUAAGAAUUGUAUAAACCUGGUUCGAAUCAUUGACCUGACAUCUAAUACCCCUGUGGCCUUUCACCUUGGCUAAAUUGUUAGGUAUUCUAUUCUUUUUGAUGCAGUUGGAAAUGGGAUUGUUUGCUUAAUCUCUCUUUCUGAUAGGCCAUUAUUAGUGUAUAGAAAUAUAAUAGAUUUCUGUAUAUUUUGUGUCUUCACCAUACGAUGAAUUUAUUCAUCCUAACAGGUUUUUAGUGGAUUCCUUAGGUUUAUCUAUAUAUAAUGUCAUCUACAAAUAAGUAAUGGUUUUAUUUCUUUCCAGUAUGGAUGCCUUUUUCUUGCCUAAUUGCUCUCAGUAGGACUACCAAUACUAUGUUGGAAAAAAGUGGCAAGACUAGCAUCACAACAGAGAAACCUGAAUGGAAGACUUAGCCACAACCAGAGCAAACUUCAGCAGCCACAACCCUGAUCAGCCAGCUGCCAUCAACUUGGAGGCAAGACCUUCCACCAGCGGAAAAGAUUACAACUAGCUGAAAGCUGAGCUGAUGGCUAGCAUUUUUAGAAAUACAGUAUUUUUUAAUUAAGGUAUGUACUUUGUUUUUAGAAGUGCUUCACACACCUAAUAGACUAUAAUACAGUAUAAACAUAACUUUUGUAUGUACUAGGAAACCAGAAACUUCAUUUAAGUUGCUUUAUUGCAGAUCUCUGUAACCUAACCUGCAGUAGAUCAGAGGUAUGCCUAUGUAGCUGUUUGGUUUGUGGUUACUAUGAGCCUUACGUAGAACAAACUACCAAUUUAAAGUAGACUUUCAUGAAUAUGACAGUUUUACUUUGCAGGCAUUCUAAAGCUCUGCCUUUUUACUCUUACCCAUCCUACCACCAUGGUUUAGGUUUUACUUCCUCUUACUUGUGUGUAUCCCUUAGUUAUUAUAGUUAUUUUUACUACUUUUGUCUUAACCUUCAUACCAUUACUUUUACUCUAAUGUGUAUCUUUACCAGUAAAAUGUUCACUCUUCCUGUUUUUUUGUUACUAAUCCACACCUUUCCAACUUAAAGAGCUCCCUUUAGCAUUUCUUAGGAGGCCAGUUAAUGGUGACAGAUUCCUUUAGCUUUUGUUGUUCUGGAAUACUCUUUCUCCUUUAGUUCUGAAAGAUAACUUUGCAAGAGUGUAUAUUCUUUCUUGAUUGGAAGUCUUUUUCUUUCAGCACUUGCACUCUCUCAUGCCACUCCUUUCUGGCCUGCAAAGUCCUGCUGUAAAAUCUGCUAAUUAUUGUAUGAGGGUUCUUUUGUAUAUAAGAAGUUCCUCUCUUGGCUGCUUUUAUCCUGGUCUUUAACUUUUGACAAUUAGUGUUUUGCUGUGGGUCUCUUUUGGUUCAUUUUAUUUGGAAUUCUCUCUGGGCUUCCUGUUUCUGGAUGUUGGGUUCCUUUUCUAGGUUUUCAGCCCCUUUCUGUCUCUUCUGGGAUCCCUGUCAUGUGAAUGUUAGUUGAUGUUUCCUCUAAGUCUUUUAAGCUUCCCCCCCUCCCCCCUCGCGCUAUGGGUGAAUUCUAAUACCCUGUGUUUAAGAUCAGUGAUCCUUUCUUCUGCUUCAUCUUGUCUGCUGGAAAACCCCUCUAAUUUUUCAGUUCUGUUAUUGUAUCCUUUAGCUUUGUGAUUUCUAUUUGGUACUUUUUUUUUUUUUUUCCAACUUCUGUGUUCAUCCAUUCUUCCAAUUUUGGUGAGCAUAUUCAUGGCCAUAGUUUGAGCUCUUUAUCAAGUAGAAUAUUUAUCUCCAUUUCACUGAGGUAUUUUUCCAAGGUUUCAUUGUAAUUCUUUCAUUUGGAACAAAUUCCCGUUGUUUUUUUUUUCCUCUUUGUUGGUCUCUGUGCUUUAGAUGGAACAGCCACCUCUCCCAAUGUUGAAAAUAAACCUUUUCAUUCAACCUUG